UUGGAUCAACUACAAUGGAGGUUGAAAAAAAGAAUUUACCGCAAGGAUCUGUUUCAAUGGAGGUUAACAAAAAGAAUUCACCUCAAGGUUCUGUUUCAAUGGAGGUUAACAAAAAGAAGAAACUAACUGCUGAACCUAUAGAACAUCAAGAGGUACUCA